UAGGGAAUCUUGCGCAAUGGGCGAAAGCCUGACGCAGCGACGCCGCGUGCGGGAAGAAGGCCUUCGGGUUGUAAACCGCUUUCAGGAGGGACGAAGCCACUCGGGUUAAUAGCCCAGAGGGUGACGGUAGCGGGAGAAGAAGCCCCGGCUAAUUCCGUGCCAGCAGCCGCGGUAAUACGGAAGGGGCUAGCGUUGUUCGGAAUCACUGGGCGUAAAGCGCGCGUAGGCGGCUUGGCAAGUGCGGCGUGAAAGUCCUGGGCUCAACCUGGGGACGGCGCUGCGGACUGCUUGGCUGGAGUCCGGAAGAGGGUGGUGGAAUUCCGAGUGUAGAGGUGAAAUUCGUAGAUAUUCGGAGGAACACCGGUGGCGAAGGCGGCCACCUGGUCCGGUACUGACGCUGAAGCGCGAAAGCGUGGGGAGCAAACAGGAUUAGAUACCCUGGUAGUCCACGCCGUAAACGAUGGGUGCUAGAUGUCGGGGGGCUUGCCCUUCGGUGUCGUAGCCAACGCGUUAAGCACCCGCCG
rnacentral:rRNA from 1 species